CUGCCAGCCGCCGCGGUAAUACGGAGGGUGCAAGCGUUAUCCGGAUUCAUUGGGUUUAAAGGGUGCGCAGGCGGAUACUUAAGUCAGUGGUGAAAUCCCGGGGCUCAACCCCGGAACUGCCAUUGAUACUGAAUAUCUGGAAUACGGUUGAAGUGGGCGGAAUGUAGCAUGUAGCGGUGAAAUGCAUAGAGAUGCUACAGAACACCGAUCGCGAAGGCAGCUCACUAAGCCGAUAUUGACGCUCAGGCACGAAAGCGUGGGGAGCGAACAGGAUUAGAUACCCUGGUAGUCCACGCCGUAAACGAUGAUAACUCGUUGUUGGCGACACACAGUCAGCGACUAAGCGAAGGCGAUAAGUUAUCCACCUGGGGAGUACGAUCGCAAGGUUGAAACUUAAAUGAAUUGACGG
rnacentral:rRNA from 1 species